GUGCAGUUGCUUCCUCGAGCCUGCCCGCCCCUCCCCUUGGGGGUGUACUUUCGCUUUGCUAAUAAUCCCUCCUCUAUUAAAACUUCUGCUGUGUGUCCACUCUCAAAUUCUUUUGUGUCUGUGGACCAAGAACCUGGGACCACACCACACCGAGCUCACCGGUGCCGCUGGAAGUCCUACCUGGUAGACUUUGUUGUGACCCUUUGCUGGAAGCCCAGCCAUCAUACAGUUCUGCUCAUUGUAGCUUGAUGGGUCUACUAGCUCACACCCCCAAGGGACACCGCCACAGCACGGCUUGAUAAGCGGUGCGUCGGUCCACGCCUGGGAUCCGAACCCGUGAGCCUCUGGCCACCGAAGCAGAGUGUGAGAACUUUACUGCUACACCACCA